AUUGAACGCUGGCGGCAGGCCUAACACAUGCAAGUCGAGCGGAUGAAGGGAGCUUGCUCCUGGAUUCAGCGGCGGACGGGUGAGUAAUGCCUAGGAAUCUGCCUGGUAGUGGGGGAUAACGUCCGGAAACGGGCGCUAAUACCGCAUACGUCCUGAGGGAGAAAGUGGGGGAUCUUCGGACCUCACGCUAUCAGAUGAGCCUUGGUCGGAUUAGCUAGUUGGUGGGGUAAAGGCCUACCAAGGCGACGAUCCGUAACUGGUCUGAGAGGAUGAUCAGUCACUGGAACUGAGACACGGUCCAGACUCCUACGGGAGGCAGCAGUGGGGAAUAUUGGACAAUGGGCGAAAGCCUGAUCCAGCCAUGCCGCGUGUGUGAAGAAGGUCUUCGGAUUGUAAAGCACUUUAAGUUGGGAGGAAGGGCAGUAAGUUAAUACCUGGCUGUUUUGACGUUACCAACAGAAUAAGCACCGGCUAACUUCGUG
rnacentral:rRNA from 1 species